GUGGGGAAUCUUCCGCAAUGGACGAAAGUCUGACGGAGCAACGCCGCGUGAGUGAUGAAGGUCUUCGGAUUGUAAAGCUCUGUUAAUCGGGACGAAAGAGCCUAGUGUGAAUAAUGCUAGGAAGUGACGGUACCGGAAUAGAAAGCCACGGCUAACUACGUGCCAGCAGCCGCGGUAAUACGUAGGUGGCAAGCGUAGUCCGGAAUUAUUGGGCGUAAAGCGCGCGCAGGCGGCUCUGCCAGUCUGUCUUAAAAGUUCGGGGCUUAACCCCGUGAUGGGAUAGAAACUACAGAUCUAGAGUAUCGGAGAGGAAAGUGGAAUUCCUAGUGUAGCGGUGAAAUGCGUAGAUAUUAGGAAGAACACCAGUGGCGAAGGCGACUUUCUGGACUGUAACUGACGCUGAGGCUCGAAAGCCAGGGGAGCGAACGGGAUUAGAAACCCCAGUAGUCC
rnacentral:rRNA from 1 species